UGCAAGUCGAACGAAGGUCCUAGCUUGCUAGGGUGCCUUAGUGGCGAACGGGUGAGUAACGCGUGGGAACCUGCCCAGAAGUGGGGAAUAACUAUUGGAAACGAUAGCUAAUACCGCAUAUUUCCUGAGGGAGAAAGGCUUCGGCCGCUUUUGGAUGGUCCCGCGUCUGAUUAGCUAGUUGGUGAGGUAACGGCUCACCAAGGCGACGAUCAGUAGCUGGUCUGAGAGGAUGAUCAGCCACACUGGGACUGAGACACGGCCCAGACUCC
rnacentral:rRNA from 1 species